UACGGGGGGAGCAAGCGUUGUUCGGAUUUACUGGGCGUAAAGGGCGCGUAGGCGGUCGUGACAAGUCACUUGUGAAAUCUCCGGGCUUAACUCGGAACGGUCAAGUGAUACUGUCGGACUAGAGUACAGAAGGGGCAACUGGAAUUCUCGGUGUAGCGGUGAAAUGCGUAGAUAUCGAGAGGAACACCUGCGGCGAAGGCGGGUUGCUGGGCUGAUACUGACGCUGAGGGACGAAAGCUAGGGGAGCGAAAGGG
rnacentral:rRNA from 1 species